GCCAGCAUGGUGUAGUGAUUUGAGUGUUAGACUAUGACUCUGGAGACCAGAGUUCGAAACCCCGCCUGGCC
rnacentral:tRNA from 1 species